GGAAGGAUCAUUGAAUCUAUCAAUACCAACACCUGUGAACCUUCAUUGUCCGGUCCAUUGGCUCAGGGGCCUUCACUGGCCUCCCAAUGCGGGCUGAUUGAUUGAUGAGCAAUCAUUGAUUGGUCGGCUCGGACUAUCUGUUGUGUGGCAGUCAAGCAAUUGAUUGCUUACAUGAUAAGAUGGUUGGCCCUUUACUAACCAUCAACACCAAACCUAAACCUGUAUCUAAUCUCACAAUGAUGAACUGGCCUGGCCAAUUCAUUCUAACUGAGACAACUCUCAACAACGGAUAUCUUGGCUCUCGCAACGAUGAAGAACGCAGCGAAAUGCGAUACGUAGUGUGAAUUGCAGAAUUCCGUGAAUCAUCGAAUCUUUGAACGCAUAUUGCGCUCGAGGCUUCGGCCGAGAGCAUGUCUGCCUCAGCGUCGGGUUAAUAUCACAUUCCCAAACACCUUGAUUGGUGAUUGGGCUCAAUGUGGACUUGGCUGUUCCAGUUCAGUGCGGGACUUGACUUGUUGAUUCAUUCAAUAAGACACAUGCCCAUCAAGCGCCCUGGAUCAGCUGAAGAACAGAGGCUAACAAGGACUCUUUAAGGGUCGCAACUGAGUAGGCACUUGUUGCUGAUUACUUUAGUUGUUGGCCUGAGACCUUCUGUUCAGCCCUCAACCAGGAAAUCCUGAUUAACCUAUUAUCUCGACCUGAGCUCAGGCAAGAACACCCGCUGAACUUAAGCAUAUCAAUAAGCGGAGGAAAAGAAACUAACAAGGAAUCCCCUAGUAACGGCGAGUGAACCGGGACAAGCCCAACUUGAAAAUCUGCCUUUGCAGAAUUGUAGUCUAUAGAAGUGCCCUCUGUGGCGGUCGGAACCCAAGUUCGCUGGAAAGCGGCAUCAGAGAGGGUGAGAAUCCCGUCGGUUCCUGACUUAGCUGCUUCACGAGGUACUUUCCACGAGUCGGGUUGUUUGGGAAUGCAGCCCAAAAUGGGAGGUAAAUCCCUUCUAAGGCUAAAUAUUGGCGAGAGACCGAUAGCGAACAAGUACCGUGAGGGAAAGAUGAAAAGAACUUUGAAAAGAGAGUUAAAAAGUGCUUGAAAUUGUUGAGAGGGAAGCGAUUGGAGGAUGUGGGUGCGCCCAGGCUUAUGCUAUUCUAACGAAUGGCUGUAUGUGCUGGGUGCUGGUCAGCAUGGGUUCGCUUGGCGGGAUAACAGCAGGGGUUGAUACCUUGUCUAUGCCGCCGAGUGGACCAAGGUGUGAAUGGCGCUCGGUCCUUCGGGAACUGCGUCAUCAAGAUGCUGGCAGAAGUCCUUCAAUCGGCCCGUCUUGAAACACGGACCAAGGAGUCUAACAUGUAUGCGAGUUGGUGGGUGGAAAACCUAUGAAGCGCAAGUAAACUGACUGGUGGGAUGGCCUGUGCCUGCACCAUCGACCGACCAUGAUCUUCUGUGAAAGGUUUGAGUGCGAGCAUACCUGUUGGGACCCGAAAGAUGGUGAACUAUGCCUGAGCAGGGUGAAGCCAGAGGAAACUCUGGUGGAGGCUCGUAGAUGUGCUGACGUGCAAAUCGCUUUUCGGACUUGGGUAUAGGGGCGAAAGACUAAUCGAACCAUCUAGUAGCUGGUUCCCUC
rnacentral:misc_RNA from 1 species